GGGGAGAGGCAGGGGUAGGGAGGUAGGAAAAUGCAAACCCGACAGUCAGGAAAACGGAGUUCUAGCCCCAAGAUGAUUGCUCAGGAUCGGUGUGCUUGGACGAGCCCCUUCGUCUCAGUUUUUCAUCUCUAAAACGAGAGUUCUAAAACCUGUUUGUUCCAUCACCCACCCACUCCCGCCCCCCAGGAUUCCUAUCAGAUCAGGCUGUUAAAAACCUGGAAAAUGCAAUUCAACUGAACAGCACUGUUAUUCUAUAGUCUCAUAUUUACUCUUAAGAUGAUUGAGAAAAGCUGGAAUCGGUCCCCAUACGUAAGAAGCUAACUCUGAGAAAAGCUGUAAGUAAGCAACACUAAAGGGUCAGUUUGCCGUCCAUUGAAACUGAGAGAUCCCAGAGAUUUAAUUCUCUGAUACCAAAGUGAAUUUGAUUCUCGUCUUACAAUACAACCAAACUGCUCCCGCCUGCACUCACCACACUGCAAUAUCUAGAAAGCAGUAUUUUUGAUACUUCACCAUCGAACUUGAAUCCCUAUUACCUGGCGCCAUAAGGCCACUCAGCUUGGAGACACAGGUUCUGGAACCAGCCCUUCUCAACAGCGAAUCUACACAUCAAGCCAUCACGUGUUACGUAAUUCGUUGGCCCUUAGUGUCCUUAUCUAUAAAGUGUAGAUAAAAACUGAUACUUGGCUAGACUGCGUGGGACACACAAAGUGAUAACGUUUGUGUAAGUAUUUGCAAUACAUAACAGCACAAGCAAAUAUAACCUUACUGCAGUACUAGUAUCUGUAAUAAAACAAGAAGGAAGCUGAGACUCGGUACAUCUCAGGGCACCAUGAGUCCCUUCCGUUCUGGAAGAGAAUGAAACUAAACCUUCCCCAAUGACAGAUGAAGACAAAAGGCCUUUCAUUCACUUAGAGAUCUUGCAAGAAAAAAACGAGGGCAGAGAAUGGAUGAAGGCACUGGUCAUGCAUGCUGGCGUCCUGUUGAAGUUAUCUGGACCUCUUUUGUCCCCACCUCUAAAUCUGAGGUAGAAAGGUUUCAUUAAGUCUUUGGUUUAAUAUUAAAACAAACUUACUGUGAAUAGCUUUUAUCUUACAAAAUAUUAACUGUAGCACAGAAUGUCACUCAGGACAAAGGAUCAAUAUCACUCACGUAUUUUGGUACAUUAAGCUAUGGUGAAAACGUAAAUAAAUAAUACGGCUCAAAGUACAUGAAGUCAAUCUGAAAAACAUCACUCCCAAAGAAACUGAUCCAAAAGAAAGAAACACCAAAGCUAACGCUGAUGAACUCAGAGACACGGUGAUGAUGGCAAUGGAGUAAAUGGCGGCAAGAAGGAACUGAUACAAAGCUCUACUAGCAUCGGCUUUCACAUAGAGAUGUUUCCCUGUAUCUGAGGGUUAGGGACCAGGAUGUAUCUUUUUAUCUAUGUGCUGCACUUUAUUUUUAUUGGACGCUGACAUAACAGCACUUUUCCUUAUUCUCCAUGAACUUCAGGUAAGCCAUUAAAGGCAUCAGUUCAUGGUAACAUAGGCUUCGAAGAUAAACAUUUGGAAUUUGUUUUAAUAGCUUAGGUAUCCAUCUAUCAAACAUCCAGAUAUCUAGAAAUAUCCACAUUACUGCAUAUAGAGUUUAACCGGCAUGUGAUUAAGAUGUGGUGGUCGACAUGUCCUGGUAUUAACCAACAGACCACAUGCCCAGUGGCCAGGGCUCCCCAAUAUCCUUGAAAGAUCCGAAAGGCUGACAGAAUGAACAAUGUGGACAGUGUAACCAUUUUUCUUUUCAGAACCAUUAAUGUGGUCCUAUAAUUAAACACGUUGAAUCAACAGA